UUUCAUGUAGGCUUUGCUUAUCUACCUGUUUGUGGAACUGCUUCAGAAAUGUCAGGUGGUGCAGCUAGAGUCUCUAAAGACAGGAGUAGCAGAGUGUAUCGUGAUGGAUCCGGUGGGGGGGGAAGCAGCCGGCACAGAGGAAGAGGACGACGAUGAUAGUGAAAAUGCACAAGCAGACACAGGUUUACUGCAGCCCGAUGCUGUGUCUCUGCACGACCAAUCAGAAAGCCUGGAGCCCAACCUCCAUCUGCUCGGCUACCUCUUCCUCUCCCGGCCAAUGAGCCAUGCCUUCAACUUCAUCAUCCUCUU